ACAAUGUAGAGUUUGAUCCUGGCUCAGGAUGAACGCUAGCUACAGGCUUAACACAUGCAAGUCGAGGGGCAGCAUGUUGGUUGCUUGCAACCAAUGAUGGCGACCGGCGCACGGGUGAGUAACGCGUAUCCAACCUACCCAAUACUCAGGCAUAACCCGUUGAAAGACGGACUAAUUCCUGAUGGUAUGUAUUUUUCUCAUGAAUUAUACAUUAAAGAAUUUCGGUAUUGGAUGGGGAUGCGUCUGAUUAGUUUGUUGGUGAGGUAACGGCUCACCAAGACUUCGAUCAGUAGGGGUUCUGAGAGGAAGGUCCCCCACAUUGGAACUGAGACACGGUCCAAACUCCUACGGGAGGCAGCAGUGAGGAAUAUUGGUCAAUGGAUGCAAAUCUGAACCAGCCAAGUAGCGUGCAGGAUGACGGCCCUAUGGGUUGUAAACUGCUUUUAUGUGAGAAUAAAGUUAGGUAUGUAUACUUAUUUGCAUGUAUCACAUGAAUAAGGAC
rnacentral:rRNA from 1 species